rnacentral:misc_RNA from 1 species
GGAUGAAGAACGUAGCGAAAUGCGAUACUUGGUGUGAAUUGCAGAAUCCCGUGAACCAUCGAGUUUUUGAACGUAAGUUGCGCCCGAAGCCGUUAGGCCCAAUCGCCUCACUUUGUAGGUAUUUGCUUGGGGUGAAUGUUGGCCUCCCGUGAGCUUUGUCUCACGGUUGGUUGAAAAUCGAGUGCAUGGUGUCGGGUGUACCAUGAUGGAUGGUGGUUGAGUGAUGAUGCUCGGGACCAAUCAUGGGUAACUCCACCAGAAUUGGGCUCGGUGACCCACAUGCGUCCCUUGGAUGCUCCCUAAGGAGACCUCAGGUCAGGCGGGGCUACCCGCUGAGUUUAAGCAUAUCAAUAAGCGGAGGA